GACUUUGUGGCGCAACUGGUAGACGCAAUGGCCUAAGAACCCAUCUGUUGUGGGUUCGACUCCCACCAAAGUCA
rnacentral:tRNA from 1 species